rnacentral:rRNA from 1 species
UAGAACGCAAUCGGAAUCAGGCCGAAAGGUCUGCGCCAGCGAUGGCCGGUUGCGAGGUGCUGCAUGGUUGUCGUCAGCUCGUGCCGUGAGGUGUCGGGUUAAGUCCCAUAACGAGCGCAACCCCUACUGCUAGUUGCCAGCGGGUCAUGCCGGGGACUCUAGCGGAACUGCCAGCGUAAGCUGCGAGGAAGGUGGGGAUGACGUCAAAUCAGCACGGCCCUUACGUCCAGGGCUACACACGUGUUACAAUGGCCAGUACGGAGGGCAGCCACCCCGCGAGGGGGCGCUAAUCCUAAAAGCUGGUCCCAGUUCGGAUCGGAGUCUGCAACCCGACUCCGUGAAGCUGGAUUCGCUAGUAAUCGCGCAUCAGCCACGGCGCGGUGAAUACGUUCCCGGGCCUU